UACGUAGGUGGCGAGCGUUGUCCGGAUUUACUGGGCGUAAAGCGCGCGCAGGCGGCUGCUCAAGUCCGAUGUGAAAUCUUCCGGCUUAACUGGAAAACGGCAUUGGAUACUGGACGGCUGGAAGGUGGGAGAGGGUAGCGGAAUUCCCGGUGUAGUGGUGAAAUGCGUAGAUAUCGGGAGGAACACCAGUGGCGAAAGCGGCUACCUGGCCCACUCUUGACGCUGAGGCGCGAAAGCUAGGGGAGCAAACGGG
rnacentral:rRNA from 1 species